rnacentral:lncRNA from 8 species
UCCAUAGGGGCUUUGUUUGUAACACUAUUGUUUCCUUUCUUGGUAUUCUGUAUAAUCAGUGAAGCAAUGAACUCCAGUGUUCAUGAUACUUGGUCAAUAUUAUUUGGUUGCGUCUCAAAUGUCACCUUGUUCUCUACAAAGUGCACUACCUUUAACCAGGGCCCAUAGAGGAUAUGGUCCCAUUUGUGUCACAUUGAUAUCCUCCCCAUGCGGAAGUCACAGAUGAUAUGCAUGAUCGUAUUGACACGUAUUGCCAUCACAUGGUUGGCUCUAAAUGGGUAAUAAAAACAUUGACAGUCGUUGGGGCGGUAUCACCUAAAUCCAUCCUCUCAUCUUCUUUUCCAGGGAAAUUCCCGAGGAGUUCUAAUUCUUUCCUUCCUUCCGGUCCGAGGCGGCAUUGCUAUCAACUGUUCCAAACAGGUGGGGGCAUUGGGGGUAUUGGUCAGACAGGUGUUGUUGGUGAGAGCGAAGCUUGGGCAUCAGGCAGAAUGUUGGCAUCUGCAUGAGUGGAACAGAGGAGCCUCAGUUCUGGUUCUCUUUCCUGAGACGACAACCACAGGAUGAGGCUUGAGAGGAGGUACGUGUUUUGAGAUGGAUGUGGUGUGUUGAAAUGUGAUUGCCAAUUUGGAGCCAUUAUGUCCAUGCGUUGAGUGCCAGAGCUGCCUGGAUGGGUUAACAAGGCUGACACUGGUCCCACACAAUCAACCAGUGUGGACAAUAGAUUUGCCACAAUGAGUAUAACAACACAAUUUGUUAAUUACCAUUUCAAUUAGCCCCUGGAUUGGGAUUAAUUCCAUUUCAAAAGCAGUCAUUUCAGAUAAUGUUCUGUGUCUGAAUUGAAAACAAGCGUAAAAUAGUCCAUACUGAAAGCAAUUUUCAAUCAAUCUCUUACAUAGAAACGGAAUCAACCACAAAUCAGAUGGCUCGGCUCAGGUCAUUGUUCUGCCAUCUCUCCCUUGGUUAGUGGAGAGAAAAGGCUGGAUCUGGCAAGCCAAACCUUUUAGAGAGAGGGAGACUGACUUGCUCUGAUGAGGCCAGACUGGCCAUGCCUUGUGCUGUGUGCC